CUGCACUGUUCGUAACCUGUUGUUAAUGAUUUCUGUUACAAUUGGGUUCCAUUCCAGUGCCACAUCAAUUCAAUAAAAGCCAUUGGCUGAAAGCUGAUCCAUAGCUUGGCCUGGUUGGAGUUGAAACAGUU